rnacentral:rRNA from 1 species
UACGUAGGGUGCGAGCGUUAAUCGGAAUUACUGGGCGUAAAGCGUGCGCAGGUGGUAAUGCAAGACAGAUGUGAAAUCCCCGGGCUUAACCUGGGAACUGCAUUUGUGACUGCAUUGCUGGAGUGCGGCAGAGGGGGAUGGAAUUCCGCGUGUAGCAGUGAAAUGCGUAGAUAUGCGGAGGAACACCGAUGGCGAAGGCAAUCCCCUGGGCCUGCACUGACGCUCAUGCACGAAAGCGUGGGGAGCAACAGG